UACGAAGGGGGCUAGCGUUGCUCGGAAUCACUGGGCGUAAAGCGCACGUAGGCGGAUUGCUAAGUCAGGGGUGAAAUCCUGGAGCUCAACUCCAGAACUGCCUUUGAUACUGGCGACCUUGAGUCCGGGAGAGGUGGAGUGGAACUGCGAGUGUAGAGGUGAAAAUUCGUAGAUAUUCGCAAGAACACCAGUGGCGAAGGCGGCUCACUGGCCCGGUACUGACGCUGAGGUGCGAAAGCGGUGGGGAGCAAACAGGG
rnacentral:rRNA from 1 species